rnacentral:rRNA from 1 species
AGAGUUUGAUCAUGGCUCAGGACGAACGCUGGCGGCGUGCCUCAGACAUGCAAGUCGAACGCGAAAGUUCCCCUCGGGGGACAAGUAGAGUGGCGCACGGGUGAGUAACACGUAGGUAAUCUACCUUCGGGUGGGGAAUAACAACCGGAAACGGUUGCUAAUACCGCAUAAUGCAGCGGCACCUAAUGGUGACAGUUGUUAAAGCGGGGGAUCGCAAGAUCUCGCGCCUGAAGAGGAGCCUGCGGCGGAUUAGCUAGUUGGUAGGGUAAUGGCCUACCAAGGCGACGAUCCGUAACCGGCCUGAGAGGGCGGUCGGUCACACUGACACUGACAUACGGGUCAGACUCCUACGGGAGGCAGCAGUCGGGAAUUUUGGGCAAUGGGCGAAAGCCUGACCCAGCAACGCCGCGUGAAGGAUGAAAUCCCUCGGGAUGUAAACUUCGCAAGAACGGGAAGAAUAAGUGGAAGUUAAUACCUUCCAUGAUGACGGUGCCGUUUGUAAGCUCCGGCUAACUCCGUGCCAGCCGCCGCGGUAAUUC